rnacentral:tRNA from 1 species
GGAGGGUAUAGCUCAGUGGUAGAGUGUUUGCUUAGCAUGCAUGAGGUCCUGGGUUCAAUCCCCAGUACCUCCA